CUUUACUGUAGCCUGGAAUUGGGUCCGGGCUUCGCUUGCGCAGGAUAGGUGGGAGGCACUGAAACACUCCUUGUGGGGAGUGUGGAGCCAACGGUGAGAUACCACUCUAGCGAGGCUAGGAUUCUAACUAAAUGCCGUUAUCCGGCUUUGGAACCGUAUCAGGUGGGCAGUUUGACUGGGGCGGUCGCCUCCUAAAAGGUAACGGAGGCGCGCAAAGGUUCCCUCCGGCUGGUUGGAAAUCAGCCCGUGAAGUGCAAAGGCAUAAGGGAGCUUGACUGCAAGAGCCACACCUCGAGCAGGGACGAAAGUCGGCCUUAGUGAUCCGACGGCGCUGAGUGGAAGGGCCGUCGCUCAACGGAUAAAAGUUA
rnacentral:rRNA from 1 species